CAGUCGCCGCGGUAAUGCGUAGGUGGCAAGCGUUGUCCGGAAUUAUUGGGCGUAAAGGGCUCGCAGGCGGUUUCUUAAGUCUGAUGUGAAAGCCCCCGGCUCAACCGGGGAGGGUCAUUGGAAACUGGGAAACUUGAGUGCAGAAGAGGAGAGUGGAAUUCCACGUGUAGCGGUGAAAUGCGUAGAGAUGUGGAGGAACACCAGUGGCGAAGGCGACUCUCUGGUCUGUAACUGACGCUGAGGAGCGAAAGCGUGGGAGCGAACAGGAUUAGAUACCCCUGUAGUCCCUGUCUCUUAUACA
rnacentral:rRNA from 1 species